rnacentral:rRNA from 1 species
GGACGAACGCUGGCGGCGUGCCUAAUACGUGCAAGUCCAUCGGACGAUUCAAAAGCUUGCUUUUGAAUCGUUAGCGGCGGACGGGUGAGUAACACGUGGGCAACCUGCCCUGUAGACGGGGAUAACACCGAGAAAUCGGUGCUAAUACCGGAUAACACGAAAGACCGCAUGGUUUUUCGUUGAAAGGCGGCGCAAGCUGUCGCUACAGGAUGGGCCCGCGGCGCAUUAGCUAGUUGGUGAGGUAACGGCUCACCAAGGCGACGAUGCGUAGCCGACCUGAGAGGGUGAUCGGCCACACUGGGACUGAGACACGGCCCAGACUCCUACGGGAGGCAGCAGUAGGGAAUCUUCCGCAAUGGACGAAAGUCUGACGGAGCAACGCCGCGUGAGCGAAGAAGGCCUUCGGGUCGUAAAGCUCUGUUGUUAGGGAAGAACAAGUACCGCAGUCACUGGUGGUACCUUGACGGUACCUAACGAGAAAGCCACGGCUAACUACGUGCCAGCAGCCGCGGUAAUACGUAGGUGGCAAGCGUUGUCCGGAAUUAUUGGGCGUAAAGCGCGCGCAGGCGGUUCCUUAAGUCUGAUGUGAAAGCCCACGGCUCAACCGUGGAGGGUCAUUGGAAACUGGGGGACUUGAGUGCAGAAGAGGAGAGCGGAA